UCUGUGAUGUUAUGCCUGCCCAGGGCCAUUACUAAUUAAAUGUGAGCCAAUCUGAUGCAAUUAAGAAUUUGAAUGACAUGGAAUCUAAAUCAAUGGGGUGUGCUAACUUAAAGAAAAGAUGAUGUAGAACUGGAAAGCCAUUUUCAUUUUUGUGUUGUGUAGGCGCUGUGGCAGAGAAAGCUGGACACCAGUGAGAAGCAGGAGAGGAAAGCAAAGAUUUCAUACCACUUUGACCAAACAAACAGAGAUGGAUUUUUGCACUUUUCACAUUCCCAGUCUCUCUGUUGGGACUACCUGACCUGGUGUUCCUUUUGAGUUAGCCUUCAGAAUUGAACUGAAACCAUCAGCUAAUACCAUCUGCUCUCCUCGGUCUCCAGCUUGCUGACUGCAGAUCUUGGGAUCUCUAAAGCCUCCAUAAUCAUCUUUGUGCCAGCAACAAAAGCUAUUCGUCACUGGCCUUGGGAAGGGAUCAAGAGGUUGGAAAGGAGGCAUGUGGAUGUUGUAAGUAAUUUGCAAGAACACUAAUGAUUUCAUAGUGUAUGUGUGUAUGCAUUCACCGAUCAACUAACAAGAA